UACGGGCGGAACAAGCAUUAUUCAUAGUGCUUUGGUGUUCAGGGUAUUCUGGUGGUUUUAUUUUGAUUUAGAUGAAAGACGUGCAGGCAAUGGACGAAUGGUCUAUUUGAUGAAAAAACUAGAGUUGAUAUAGGUUACGGGUAUGGCAAGAAGACAGAUGCAAUUGUAUAACACUUGAUAGAACACCGAUGGCGAAGGCACGUUUCUAGGUACAACUGACACUCGCGUACUAAAGCUUGGGGAUCAAACGGG
rnacentral:rRNA from 1 species